rnacentral:piRNA from 1 species
CAAGGCACUUCUGGCUUUCUGAAAGGC